UGGGAUUCCCGUGCCCCCCCCAGCCCAAAUAUUGGCUUUGUUCUGCCCUCGCUGCCGCCCCUUGGUCCCGGGGGGGUGCCCGUGGAGAGGCCGGGGAGGGGGGAGCGGAGGUGGGAGCCGUGCUAGUGAGAUCCGUGCCCAGCAUCACGGUGGCUGCUGGUUGACUCCGCAACGACAGUGAGCGGGCAUCGAAUGAAACAAAAGCAAGGAACUGGACUCCUUCCACUGCAAGAAAUAUGAAGCUUGAGUAAAUAUGAGCAAAUGGAUUAAUCCCCAGGAAAAAAAGGAGGAUGUGCUCCAUGAAAAAUCACAGCAAACAGGAAACAGGCAGGGGGGCAACCGAGGGUGGCACAGGCACUUUAACUCUGCUAUUGCCCGGUUUCUGAGCGCUCAGCUUUGCAAUCUCACCAUUAAUCUCGGCCUUUUGGAGAUGCCAUUUCCCAGAUCAAAACAAAUAAACCUGCAGAUGAAGGGUUU